CCUACGGGUGGCAGCAGUGGGGAAUAUUGCACAAUGGGCGAAACCCUGAUGCAGCGACGCCGCGUGAGUGAAGAAGUAUUUCGGGUUGUAAAGUCCUUUCAGCGGGGAGGAAAAUGACGGUACCUAAGUAAGAAGCCCCGGCUAACUACGUGCCAGCAGCCGCGGUAAUACGGAGGGGGCAAGCGUUAUCCGGAAUUACUGGGUGUAAAGGGAGCGUAGACGGCAGUGCAAGUCUGGUGUGAAAGGCGCGGGCUCAACCCGCGGACUGCACUUGAAACUGGACGGCUGGAGUGCGGGAGAGGUAAGUGGAAUUCCUGGUGUAGCGGUGAAAUGCGUAGAUAUCAGGAGGAACACCAGUGGCGAAGGCGGCCUGCUGGACGAUGACUGACGCUGAGGUACGAAAGCGUGGGGAGCAAACGGGAUUAGAUACCCCGGUAGUC
rnacentral:rRNA from 1 species